GGAAGGAGGAAAUAUCUAGAUUUGAGUUGCAUCUCAACACUCUAAUUCUAUCUGCCUUCCUAGGGUAGUUAAUUCCUCUCACAUCGAAAUCCUGAUCAGAUUAAAUAAAAAUCUUAAAAAAUGAAAACGACACUCCUUUCAUUCUUCUGCAAUGUGAAGUUUCAUGCUUUAAAAAAAAAUCAGGAUGAUGUUACAGAAAAUGAAACACCGCAUAUCCUCACUCAUAGGUAGCAGUGUACUAAAACAUCAAAUGAGCCUGUGUCCUUGCUCUGAAAGAUGCAACCAGAAAAUCCAAGCAUGGUUAACUUAUGAGGGUCAAAAUAUCUGAGGACAAAAAUGUUUACACCUAAAAAUGUAAGUAGGCCCUCUAUGAGUGAAUCUGUUAAUUGUUCAGAGGAAAAGAGAGGGGUGGUUAAGAGUUUAGGCCCGGGGCCCAGAGUGCUCGGGAUUGAAUCUUUGUUCUGCCACCUAUAAGAUUUUGAGCAAGGAAUUUAACCUUUGUGUCCCAUAGUUAUCUAGGAUGCGAAAUACUAGACCCUCACUAGACUGUUGAGAAUACAUGUAAGAUUGGUGCAGUGCGGAAUGUUAGCAAUUUCUGUUUGUAAUAAUAAUAGUCUUUCCUCACAAAUGAAGGAAAUAAUGUACACAGUGGUCCCAGG
rnacentral:lncRNA from 13 species